UACGUAGGGUGCGAGCGUUAAUCGGAAUUACUGGGCGUAAAGCGUGCGCAGGCGGCGGCAUAAGACAGAUGUGAAAUCCCCGGGCUCAACCUGGGAACUGCGUUUGUGACUGUGCUGCUAGAGUGUAGCAGAGGGGGGUGGAAUUCCACGUGUAGCAGUGAAAUGCGUAGAGAUGUGGAGGAACACCGAUGGCGAAGGCAGCCCCCUGGGUUAACACUGACGCUCAUGCACGAAAGCGUGGGGAGCAAACAGGAUUAGAUACCCUGGUAGUCCACGCCCUAAACGAUGCCAACUAGGUGUUGGGGGAGGAGACUUCCUUAGUACCGUAGCUAACGCGUGAAGUUGGCCGCCUGGGGAGUACGGUCGCAAGAUUAAA
rnacentral:rRNA from 1 species